GUCGCCUUAGAGCCCUCCACCGCCACCCGCUUCCUUUUCCGUCGGCUGCGAGCGGAGGAGCACACGCGGCUUGCCGCCGGCCAUGAGGUUGUUGGCGGCCGGGGGGCAGCGCCCGCGGGCGCGUCGCCAGGCCUUUCCAGAUACAACAGAGACUAUGAGUUGAAGAUGAAUCAAGGUUAUUAUGAAUGUUUUCCAGAAACAUAAAGGAUGACUAAACCUCCAGGAAGCACAACUGCAUGUAACAAGGUAACUGCAAGUGAAUGGACAAGUUCUUAGCUGUGGUGUUUUAAAAUUCUUCAUUGCCUCAGGUGUGGCCUGUGACAUUUUUGGAAGAAAAAAAAACAAAAGAAUUGGUCAAGAAGAUAAGAACUGAAGCAAAUUAUGAAAAGUAAUAUUUUAUUUAACAAUGAUCAAUAAAUUAUAUAGAAAAUCACAAUAAAGUUAUAUAGAAAACA